AAACUCCUACGGGAGGCAGCAGUGGGGAAUAUUGCACAAUGGGGGAAACCCUGAUGCAGCGACGCCGCGUGAGUGAAGAAGUAUUUCGGUAUGUAAAGCUCUAUCAGCAGGGAAGAAAAAAGACGGUACCUGACUAAGAAGCCCCGGCUAACUACGUGCCAGCAGCCGCGGUAAUACGUAGGGGGCAAGCGUUAUCCGGAAUUACUGGGUGUAAAGGGUGCGUAGGUGGCAUGGUAAGUCAGAAGUGAAAGCCCGGGGCUUAACCCCGGGACUGCUUUUGAAACUGUCAUGCUGGAGUGCAGGAGAGGUAAGCGGAAUUCCUAGUGUAGCGGUGAAAUGCGUAGAUAUUAGGAGGAACACCAGUGGCGAAGGCGGCUUACUGGACUGUCACUGACACUGAUGCACGAAAGCGUGGGGAGCAAACAGGAUUAGAUACCCUGGUAGUCCACGC
rnacentral:rRNA from 1 species